UGGCUCAGGAUGAACGCUAGCGACAGGCUUAACACAUGCAAGUCGAGGGGCAGCGGGGGUGAUGGCUUGCCAUCACCUGCCGGCGACCGGCGCACGGGUGAGUAACACGUAUGCAACCUGCCCGCCACAGGGGGAUAAGCGGAAGAAAUUCCGUCUAAUACCGCGUGACGCGGCGCCGGGGCAUCCCGGUGCCGCCAAAGGGAUUACCGGUGGCGGAUGGGCAUGCGGCGCAUUAGCUAGUCGGCGGGGUAACGGCCCACCGAGGCGACGAUGCGUAGGGGUUCUGAGAGGAAGGUCCCCCACACUGGUACUGAGACACGGACCAGACUCCUACGGGAGGCAGCAGUGAGGAAUAUUGGUCAAUGGGCGCGAGCCUGAACCAGCCAAGUCGCGUGAGGGAUGACGGUCCUACGGAUUGUAAACCUCUUUUGCCGGGGAGCAAGCGUGCGUUCGUGAACGCGCGUCGAGAGUACCCGGAGAAAAAGCAUCGGCUAACUCCGUGCCAGCAGCCGCGGUAAUACGGAGGAUGCGAGCGUUAUCCGGAUUUAUUGGGUUUAAAGGGUGCGUAGGCGGGAUGCCAAGUCAGCGGUAAAAAUGCGGUGCUCAACGCCGUCGAGCCGUUGAAACUGGCGUUCUUGAGUGGGCGAGAAGUAUGCGGAAUGCGUGGUGUAGCGGUGAAAUGCAUAGAUAUCACGCAGAACUCCGAUUGCGAAGGCAGCAUACCGGCGCCCUACUGACGCUGAGGCACGAAAGCGUGGGUAUCGAACAGGAUUAGAUACCCUGGUAGUCCACGCAGUAAACGAUGAAUGCUAACUGUCCGGCUCGAAUGAGCGCUGGGCGGUACAGCGAAAGCGUUAAGCAUUCCACAUGGGGAGUACGCCGGCAACGGUGAAACUCAAAGGAAUUGACGGGGGCCCGCACAAGCGGAGGAACAUGUGGUUUAAUUCGAUGAUACGCGAGGAACCUUACCCGGGCUCAAACGCAGGAUGACGGGUCCCGAAAGGGGUCUUUCCUCGGACAUUCUGCGAGGUGCUGCAUGGUUGUCGUCAGCUCGUGCCGUGAGGUGUCGGCUUAAGUGCCAUAACGAGCGCAGCCCCUGUCCACAGUUGCCAGCAGGUAAAGCUGGGGACUCUGUGGAAACUGCCGGCGCAAGCUGCGAGGAAGGCGGGGAUGACGUCAAAUCAGCACGGCCCUUACGUCCGGGGCGACACACGUGUUACAAUGGCAGGUACAGCGGGAUGCCACGGGGCGACCCGGCGCUGAACCCGAAAACCUGUCUCAGUUCGGAUUGGAGUCUGCAACCCGACUCCAUGAAGCUGGAUUCGCUAGUAAUCGCGCAUCAGCCACGGCGCGGUGAAUACGUUCCCGGGCCUUGUACACACCGCCCGUCAAGCCAUGGAAGCCGGGGGUACCUGAGUGCGUGACCGCGAGGAGCGCCCUAGGGUAAAACCGGUGACUGGGGCUAAGUCGUAACAAGGUAACCGU
rnacentral:rRNA from 1 species